UACGAAGGGGGCUAGCGUUGCUCGGAAUUACUGGGCGUAAAGCGCACGUAGGCGGAUCAUUUAGUCAGGGGUGAAAUCCCGGGGCUCAACCUCGGAACUGCCUUUGAUACUGCAAAUCUCGAGUCCGGAAGAGGUGAGUGGAAUUCCUAGUGUAGAGGUGAAAUUCGUAGAUAUUCGCAAGAACACCAGUGGCGAAGGCGGCUUACUGGUCCGGAUCUGACGCUGAGGCGCGAAAGCGUGGGGAGCAAACAGG
rnacentral:rRNA from 1 species